rnacentral:tRNA from 8 species
CGCGGAAUAGAGCAGCACGGUAGCUCGUCGGGCUCAUAACCCGAAGGUCACAGGUUCAAAUCCUGUUUCCGCAACCA